rnacentral:lncRNA from 1 species
UUCCUCCUUCAACUCCUCCUUCUACUCUUUCUUCUCUUUCUUUUCCUCAUCCUCCUCCCCUUUCUCACCGUUUCGAACGCUAUUACGUGCAACGGCUACCGGCAGGCACGAAGCCAAGCCACAGCAGCAACAGGACUACCGAUCUCUUCUGCCAAGAGAGCUCACCCCGAGAGAAGGGAACUUACAAUUAGGCAAUUUAAAUCAACAGUUCCGAUCUCCGACGUUGACGUCGAUUACCAUUUUUCGUAUUAGCACCGGUCACCCUUUCUCUCUCUCUCUUUCUCUUUCUUUUCUUUUAUUGUCCCUCGCUCUACCUUUUACCUCCCCUUGAAGAAAAGAAGAGGAUGUGCUUUAAUAAUUUGAGCUCCCUGAAUUUCUUCUUGCCUACCGGAGAUACUCUCUUCAUAUCAAGGUACCACUAAGAUAUUGGUGAAAAAUGACGAAGAUAUAAUAAAUAGAUUAAUUAAUAUUAUAAAAUGAUAAUCAGAUCUUGAUUAAUGUGAUAACGCUGAAAAGAAUCCGAGUAGGAUCAGUAAUUUUCAGAGCAAUCAUCUCUCUUGAUGAUUAACAAUCUCAUUCAAGAAGACACUUAAAUUACAUCUAUUUCCUCGAAUAAUAAUAAUAAUAAGGAUAAGUAAUAGUCUUCGAUAUUACCUACAAAUAACAAACAAGACUCACAAUCAGUAAUGUACUUACUUACUUCGUAAAGAAAGCACUUUGAAUAUCUGGUUUCUUGAAAUCGUAGGCCAAGAGAUUGUUGCAAGAGGGAAGAAGAAUAAGGAAAAAAACAAUAUGGGAAGGAUGUAAUAAAGUUACUGAAUAAAGGAUAUUAUGGUGCAUAUAUAUAUAUAACGAUUGAAAUACAAGGAUAUAGAAGCUACUAUAUAUUCUUUUUCUUUGAAGUUGGAAAGAAGAAAGAAGCCUGAAGGCAAAAAAUGUCGAGAAAAGUUCUUUUUCAUAAAUUAGAUGAAGAAGAUAAGAAAUGCGUAUAAAAGAAGAGUGUUGCAUCAAAAGGACCUUGACAUCGAGUGGUUAUCAGCUUGCUUUCUUCAACACUACGCCAUUCUCAUCUUCCUCCUCCUUCUGCUCAUCUUCUUUAAAGAAGAAACGACGCUUUGGAGUAGCCACACGUGCACGUAAGCGGCGAAAGUCGAUGCACACACGUUGCAUCGUACUACGUCUUACCAUACUGUACCAUUACUACACCAUGAGACUUGUGAUGGGAAGGCGAGGGAGGAGGGAAGAAAAAGAGGAGGAGUUCGAAGAGAAAAAGAGAGAGAGAUGAGCAAACUGGAAAAAGAAAUGGCGCGGCGAGAGGAAAAGGGAAGGAGGAAAGGGAGAGAGCGGUUUUGCCCCUUUUGCCAGUUCUGCCUUUUUUUCUCAUCCUCUUCUUUCCUCAUCAACCGUCCUCCUCCUCCUUCUCUUCUUCUUCCUUCUUCUACUCCUCACACUCUUCUUCACCAUUUUUGCUGUAAAACAGGGACGGACCGACCAACUGACAGAGAGAAAUUUUACAUAUUUCUUUAGUUUACAUAUAUUUUAAGUAGAUAAAUUAUACGUAACAAAGAUUGAUGUUUGGUAAUACUGAGAAAAUUUAUUUAGGUAGGCAAAAGUAAUUUGUUUCUUCACAAUUUUAUUGUUUGCAGAUGUUUCUUUUUGUAGAUGGAUUUUUUUAUUGAUAUUAGUGAGAUAAUUUGAUUGAUUAACAGACUGGAACAUUUUAAAUUGUUUGAUUAUGCAUAGACAUUAUCUCGAAAGAGAUAGAGUGUUCGUGUAUAAGUGCACGGUCAAUGAAUUCUAAGUUCAUUGAUGGUCAACGAGUUAGGAUAGUGGACCUAAUAUAUAUUUUUUUCAAUAUUUUUAGAACGAUAUAGUCGUUAAUAUGAUAAAUUAUCAAAAUUUAUUUUGUAUGUUUCUAUCUUACACAAGAGAAAAAAAGAAGGAUUCGUAAAAUGGCUAAUCUCUACCUCCCAUUACCGAAGUCGUCCUGACCGCGUCACCUCCUACUAGAGAAUCACAAAGUCAUCCCAGGCCAGUUGUAUUCCAAGACUCAUCUUGAUACUUCUCCCUCUCUAUAUACCAGCGAGGAUUUAUCGUCACGUAUUAUCGAUAACGAUUAUAAGAUACCAAACACGUCUCAUGGAAAUGAAGAUGACUUGAAAUGUUACCGUUUUAACUGUUAAACGUCUAACGUUCGUGAAGAUCCGUUACACUUAGCUCUACUUUUCGUUGGCUUCUCUCUGUUCCUCUCACAUCGAAUGAAUUUAAGUCGAACGACAGGCAGGUGACGAGUCAAAUUACGGAAGUCAUUGAAGCACUGCGGUUAUGAACGUGCAAGUUACAUAUCUCUCAAAAGAAAGAAAGAAAAAGAGAGAAACAGAGAAGAAAUGGAAGACGUGCCACAACCACAUCCGUCGUUACAGCCGGCUUUACGUUUUCUUUGCUACACGAGAUCUCCUCUUUUUAUAUGCCUCUACGCAUCCCCGUGAAGAAAAUGAAACAUCGAUUUUAUUCUCGUUAUCGAUCAAUCAAGCACUUAAUGUUCUAAGAAAACAAAAUUAAUUGAUAAACGGAGAAGGAUCUUGGCUGGAUUUAUUUCAUUUCAAGAAAUUGUUUGAAUUAAUAUAACAAUUGUAAAAACAAAAACAUGCUAUAACAACUAUGAGAAGAAAAAAAAUAAUACAAAACAAAAAGAAAAAGUAGGCCAAAGUUUCGAUCGGAUAAGAGCAACGAAAUAAGUUUAACACUUCGUAUCUCGUUGCUUGAGCGAGAUCAAUUAUAUGGGUCGUUCCUUUUCUUUAGGUCCGAUCGGUGUAUGUAUCUGCUUCUUGCUAGUGCUGUGCGUCCCUCGUCUUCGAUCGAACUUCAAGUCAAACUCGUUCUCGACAACAGAGUAACAUGAAGAUGCGAGCCGGUGCUUCUUCGAUACGUUUGCAUUAAGAACAAAAAAAGAAUAUGAAGAAGAAAAAGAAGAAGAAGAAUAAAAUGAUCCACCAAGAAGAUGAGCGAGAAAAUUGAAAAUUUUAUAAACUUUCUGGGGAUAAAAUUGUAAGAUCAGAACUCUCAUUUUAUUAAGAACCGAGGACAGAUGAAAAAUUACAAAAUGUUUAGGAAAAAAUAAUGAAUGAUCUAACAGGACUAAUUUCUAGAUAGUCAAAUAUUAUGAGAACUAGUUUCUUGAUCAUCAAAUCCGUGUCAGUCGACAUAAGGCACGAAGGUUACAAGACAAUAAUCAAUGAAGUUGUAAGCGGUGUCUACCCUCUUAUCUAUUCAAAGAUAACAGGACUUGGAGAAAAUGAAGAAAGAAAAAAAAAGAUAGAGAUAACAAAGAGAAGAAUGUUGAGGGGGACAGACAGACAAAUAGAAAGACAGACAGGCAGGCAGACCAUUUUAAAUUCUGAUUUCCAUAAAUAAAAACAUUACCCCUGGUAAAA